GACAACUUGAUCUUCGAAAUAAUGGUUUGAAUUCAAUCAUUCCUUCUGAGCUAGGCCUUUGUACUAACCUCACUCACUUGGCUCUAGCAGAGAAUGCCCUGCAAGGACCAUUGCCUACAUCCUUGUCCGCGGUGACCAAGUUAAUUUCCUUGCGCUUGUCUGAUAAUUUUCUUUCUGGUGAGGUUCAAUCAUAUCUCAUUACCAAU
rnacentral:misc_RNA from 1 species